AGUAAUAUAAUUGGUAAAAACCCAAUAUCGUUCUUCCCAAGAGACUCGAAAGGCUUUAUCGUUCGUGUGAAUUAAAAUCAUAAGACUUGUAAAGAAAAUUAAUUGAGUGGAAUGCAAAGACACAAAAUAAACAUGCAAAUGUGUUUGAUUCAAUUGACGAAAAAGACUAUGGAUGAAUGGAGUUGUUGGGGGUUUACAAUUUCAUCUAAUUCGCUCUCUCUUAUCUACUCCUCUUGUUUAAUGUGCUUCAUUAUCUAAUUAUUAUGCAACUUUCUUGGCCUCCCCUUAACCCGAUCCCUCGGUGAAAAGGGCCUAUUACUAAUUACUGGCUUGUUAUCCCUAGCCUCCCCUAGAAAUUAAUAACGCAUUAUAGAACAGAAGCAAAAACAAUUGAUCGUCCUACCCCUAUCCCUUGGUGGUAUUGCUUAAUCAAGGAAUCACUCACCAAUUCAUGACAUUACUGUACGUCCCCG
rnacentral:lncRNA from 1 species